AGUUGGUAGCACCGACUGGGACAUUGACCACCGAAUGAAUUGUUUUCCUUUUGAUCCUUAAGUCUUCUAAGCAGAAAGCUACGUGAAUAUAAGAGGAGAAAGUAGCUGCCAAUGGUUAGCCAAAUCCAAGCGGUGACCGAGUGGAGGAAAAAGAGAAACCAACUACAGAACUUGGGCGGUGGCAGAGAGCAAGACAAAAUCUGUAGCACCUCUCCUUACCAAGCUAGCAUCGAGAGAAAACAGAGAGAGUGAGAAAAGAGAGCGAAACUGAGGAAGUGAGAGCAGGGGCUUGGUUGGUUUCUUCACCAAUUAACCCAGGCACAAGAAGAAAUAUCGCAAGGAAAGUAAGGGAGGCUGGAGCUAACACUCGAGGGAACAAAAGUUGGGAAGAGAAACUGAUUACGUCUGCAAUUCCUAACACUUAAGGCCAGAGGUAAGUUUUUGUGAAUAAUGCUUAUGUACUGAAUAGAACUGAGCAUAUGUUAAGCUGUAACAUGUCAUAAAGCCUCUUAACUUCAUCAAGCAAGACCAAAAUGAGUAUAAACUAAGGUGAACAUAACAAGACAAGUGCAUUCGGCUGAUUGCAGGUUGGUUGGUCGAGGGAAUUAAGCAGGAUAUGUAACCUGUUGUUGCUAAUUCUGAAACUCAUACUGUUGACCUUGGUUGAUCAGUCCUUGGUUUUGAUGAUUAACAAACCAAAAUGUAGAUUUGGACUAAUGUUUUUAUGUGAGAAAUUUGUUAGAACAUGUCAUUGAUCCAAAAGAGAAUCGAAAAGAUUUGAAUCAAAGAGAAGCUAAGAAAUAUGAAGGUUCGGACGCUCGAUAGAGGAUCGGACGUCCGACAGACGACGAUACUCUUCGGACGCUUGGAUCGGACGCUCAUUCAUUGCUUCGGCCGUCCGACACAAAAAGAAUGAAAGUUGAACAUUCUGACUUCUAUCGGACGCAGGGUUCGGACGCAGAACAAAUGGUUCGGACGUCCGAUAGGUGGUUCGGAUGCAUGGUUCGGACGCAGAGCAAAUGGUUCGGACGUCCGACAGGCCAAUGGCUAGUUUCGACAGCAUUUAAUAUUUGACCGUUGGAGAGCCUUUUGGAGCCAUUUCUCACCUUCUAUAAAUACCCCAAAACACAAGAAGACACAGACUUUUGCCAACACUAAAUACAAGCUAACAAGUGAGAUCUUUGAGUAGAAAUAUUCUUUGUUGGUUGUAUAAGGGGUUGGGAAAGUUGGAUUGUGAGGUUGCUCAAGUGAAGGUUACUCUCUAUGAGGAGUAAAACCUUGGUGAAGGUGAACCUAUCACUUGGAGUGGUAAAACCUUGAUAAAGGUUGCCUCACUUGUAUAAAGUAGUUCUUAAUUGAGUGGGUAAGCUUUCAAUUGUAGCUAGUUGAGGGUUUACUUGGAGAGUAGUAAAAUUCCUUUGCUCAACCAAAGUAUGUUUGGGGUGAGGAAGGAGUGAGCCUUCACUUGUACAAGUUGGUUAGCACUACCAUCAAUUGAAGAAGCUAUUUGGUGGAUUCAACUCCAAGUUUGGAAGAAGUUUGGGAGUUUGAUUGGUUUGAAUUUCUUUUACUUUAUUGUUACUCUAUUUUUGUGCUUUAAAAUUGCUUAUAUUCUUUGUCAUUGUAUUUACUUGACUACUUGUCUGGUUUAGUAUUUUGGUUGUAUUUGGUUGCAUCGGGGCUUACACAUACUAAUGAAUACAUGGAAGACAUGUUAGUUCUUAACCUUAACAGAUAGGUGCAUUGGAAGUCAGAAACUUCAGGCAGCUCAACUAAAUUAGACAAAAGGGAAGCUGCUACAAUCUGUUAUGAUACUAAAGAGAAGGAACUUAGCUUUUGGAGCAGCUUUUCUUCCAAUUUCUGUGUUCUAUGAACUUCCACAGGUGGAACUAGGGUUGCCCUGUGGUUCAGUAACUACAUUUGGCACUGUGAGUAGAGUUAAAUUGGUGCAACUAAGGAGGGAGCUGUGAAUUAAAAUGCUGAAGUACAUAAUGGCUGAGGGGAAAGGAGUCUUGAUCAGCUUCUCCUUUGAGUUUAGUGCAGAAAUUUUCUACGAUCUGACUAACGCUAUCCUAUAGCUUAAUAAACACGAUUUGUUUAUCUAGUUGGAGCAUGAAAUUGAAAGGAAGGAUUUGAGGGAAACAAUGAAUGCUGGACCUGUACAUUGCUAGGAAGUUGCAUUUGGUUAAAACAGAACUUAUUGUUGUCUUGUUGAAUUUAUGUGUUAAUAGUACAUGUUAUUUGAUUCAACUUCAGCAGGGACGAAAGAAAUACUAAGUGAUCAAUAUUUUAACCAAGUAAAAGAUGAAAUGUUGAUGAAAACUAAGAAGUAUAUUGCUAGAACGUGAGUUGACAGCUGAUAUAGUAAUAAAGUAAAGUUCUAUAAUGUUUUGGAAACUUUAAGGCAAUUUAUUAUAAUUAAAUAUAUAAGACGGUUGCUAAUCACUUAAUCUUGUCUUCAAGAACAUUUUAAAGACCCUAGAACCUAAGGGGGGUUGGUAUCGCGAAACAAAACUUAAUUUACAAACAACUUAGAGUUUAGUUGAGUUAAAAGGGAAUAAAUGGAGUGUCUAUAAGCCAUAAUUGAUGAAUAUUGAAUUGAGAAAGAUAUAUUCUUGAUUUAAAUAUUAUACGAAGAUACAAACCUGGGAAAAAUGUAUAAUUCUUAGUUUGACAUGAUAAAAUUAAUAAAUUUUGAAAUAAAAUGUAAAAUAAAUAUAAAAUAUGUUAUAUUUUGUAUUUUAAAGCCAAAACUUGACUUUAAUAGUUUAAAUGAUAAGGUAAUAAAUGAUAAGUGGUCAUCUAUGAAUUGUAUAUUCACUUUAGAGUUAUAAACUUGUCCCAGGGAGUCUGUGAGCCCGGAAUCGAACCCGAAGCUCGAGAGCAAUUUAUUGGGGUUUUGGUGAGUGUUUCUGAAUUUAUGUGUUUAACCGUUUAUGUUUACUUAAGUGAAAUUAUGUGAUAAAUGUGCUUAUUAUGAAAUAUUGCUAAGUGAUUCAUUGUAAAAUGUAUCUCAAUUGUCCCUCGCCUUCUAAGUUGAGGGUGUACUUUAUCACACUCGGCUUAGUUGAGUUUGAAGGUUAUUGACCAAAUGUUACUGUAAGUGUGCAUGAAUGUAAGCCGUAUGUGUACUUUACCACAUCGGCUGAACUGGACCCCAAAACCCUCUGUUCAACGGACUAUUCGAGCCAACAAAGGGUUUGGUCGGAUAGGACGGAAGCUUUGGGUAACUGUUUCGGUAUACUCAAGUAUUACCCUGAAGUUGGGAGAUUAUUGAACUAAUUACUGAAUGUAAGAGAUUGUUUAUUGUUUUGGAGGACAUAAGGAGGUGAAUUGGCGGAGUGUGCAAUGAUAUUGAAAUGAAUGCACAAUGAUAUUGAAAUGAGUGUCUCAUGACACUGAAAUGAAUGUACAAUGACAUUGAAAUGACUCUCAGGAGGAGUUCGUAUCCUUUUGAAAGUGAUUAUACAGUGAAAUGUGCACUACUUGUUUAAUUUACUGGUUUAAGUGUUUAUUGAAUGUUAUUUGUCCGGAAAACCUCACUGAACUUUAGCUCAACCUUUUAGCUUUGUUUUCCUUACAGGAGUUGAAGUUUGAAGGACAACCAAGUAGAGUUAAAGUGUUUUGGGAGGUCUAAUGUUAUAUAUUGAUGUUAAGACCUGCAUUUUGUAUCUCUUAAUAGAUAGAUUUAUAUUUUACACUAGUUGGUGAUGUACUUAAGAAUGAGCAUUUGGAUGAUUUACUUUUGUAAUUUGUAGUGGACAAAGCUUUUGUCUUACUAAGAAGUAUUAAGAAUGGAUGUUUGGAUGAUUAUUGAGAAAUGUUAUCUCUGAAGUUAAUGUGA
rnacentral:lncRNA from 1 species